AUCUUUGUUCAGUGGCAGUAUCAUAGCCCGUGAGUUUUAUCCGAGGGGUGAUUAUCGCGAGUUGAAAACUUUACCUAAUACCCUGUCUUGAUGACUUGAAAUAUAGUCAGCUAUGGCAAUUUUUGAUAGUCUACUUUGAGA